GGGGUUGUGGCUCAGAGGUAGAGUGCUUGCCUAGCAUGCAUGAGGCAAUGGGUUCAAUCCUU
rnacentral:tRNA from 1 species